rnacentral:misc_RNA from 1 species
CAAAGGAAAUCAAGUUCCAAAAAAGAAGCCAAGGAAGAUGGUAGCGAGCGAAAAGCUGAGGGUGCUACUGAGAAAGAAACUAAGGCAAAUGAUGAACCUGCUUUGCCUGAUGCAGAGGAUCUGGAAGCCCAAGAUGUAGAGAUGGCAUCUAAGAAUCUCACUGAUGGAGAUAACACAAAGGAUGAGAAGGAGAAGACCAAUGAUGGCGAG